UCUGACCCGUAGAAGUCGAAUUUCACUAUGUUUCCAUAACGACUAUUUUCCGUAACAAAACGAUCAUCCGAAUUUCGGUACAGUAUACGGUUCAAUUGACGGUGUGACUUUUUUGCCUAUCACCGCUCCCAAUGAUACGUCACUAAGAGGUAUGCAUGCAACAUCUUAAUUGACUUUUAUGAUACAAUUAGGCAACUGGAGAAUGGUGCUUUUAAAAACAGAAAUACAGGAGACAAAGCAGAGAGGGGAAAACAACAAAUCAUUUAAAAGAGAAAGAAAGCAGAAAAAAUUAUGUUCCCAUUCAAAAAAGAAAAAGCACUGGUGAAGAAAAUGUAGAGGAAACUACAUGAAACGUUAUAACAUUACAACAAAUUUGUGUAAAUUAGGCAGAAAUAAAGCAAAUAAAAGUGAAAAAAAAGAA